rnacentral:piRNA from 1 species
UGUAGACUUGGAAUCUGCGCCC